AUUGAACGCUGGCGGCAUGCUUUACACAUGCAAGUCGAACGGUAACAGGCCUUCGGGUGCUGACGAGUGGCGAACGGGUGAGUAAUGCAUCGGAACGUGCCCAAUCGUGGGGGAUAACGUAGCGAAAGUUACGCUAAUACCGCAUAAGCCCUGAGGGGGAAAGUGGGGGACCGCAAGGCCUCACGCGAAUGGAGCGGCCGAUGUCAGAUUAGCUAGUUGGUGGGGUAAAGGCCCACCAAGGCGACGAUCUGUAGCGGGUCUGAGAGGAUGAUCCGCCACACUGGGACUGAGACACGGCCCAGACUCCUACGGGAGGCAGCAGUGGGGAAUUUUGGACAAUGGGCGCAAGCCUGAUCCAGCCAUGCCGCGUGCGGGACGAAGGGCCUUCGGGUUGUAAGACGUCUUUCGGUCAGGAACGAAACGGUAGGUCCCGUAAUACGGAUUAGCUAAUGACGGUACCUCGAAGAAGAAGCACCGGC
rnacentral:rRNA from 1 species